AUUGAACGCUGGCGGCAGGCCUAACACAUGCAAGUCGAGCGGAGCGGCGGACGGGUGAGUAAUGCCUAGGAAUCUGCCUGGUCGUGGGGGAUAACGUCCGGAAACGGGCGGUAAUACCGCAUCCUUUCAGAGGAGCCUGGGGCGGAUGGGCACGGUGGGGGGGUAAAGGCCUACCAGGGCGACGAUCCGUAACUGGUCUGAGAGGAUGAUCAGUCACACUGGAACUGAGACACGGUCCAGACUCCUACGGGAGGCAGCAGUGGGGAAUAGUGCACAAUGGGCGAAAGCCUGAUGCAGCCAUGCCGCGUGUAUGAAGAAGGCCUGAGGGUUGUAGAGUACUUUCAGCGGGGAGGCGUUACCCGCAGAAGAAGCGCCGGCUAACUCCGUGCCAGCAGCCGCGGUAAUUC
rnacentral:rRNA from 1 species